UAGGUGUAAAAAUAAACAUAUAUCACAUAUAGGCAUCCACACUAUAUGAUUAUGUACCAGAACCUAGUCUGAUAAGGCCUGAGCCUAAAAGGAUGAUCACGUACAAAAUCUCUAUGUGUGUCUUAGCGAGCGCAUUUCCAUGCCCGGUGAUCAUCCAUCUCAUCCUCAUCGGUCCUGUCGGCACCUUGACGCAUCUGCAAGCUCGAUGAUCUCCAUGUCCUCUUGGGUCCCGUUGGCACCUCCACACUCCCAUUGCGUCGUUUCGUGCAAUUACAACUUAAUUAUAGGUACGCAGGCUUAAAAAUGUACAUAUUGCAUAAAUGAGAAACCUUAAUCUUAUCAAGGGGAGGUACAACACUGAGGGAGAUAGAAAUACAUGUUGGAUAUAAUGAGAGAGAGAGGGAGGCUCGUAAGCCCCAAUAAUAAUCACAUACACG
rnacentral:lncRNA from 1 species